AGAGUUUGAUCCUGGCUCAGAGUGAACGCUGGCGGCGUGCCUAACACAUGCAAGUCGAACGAUGAUGGAGAGCUUGCUCUCCUGAUUAGUGGCGCACGGGUGAGUAUACCAUAGAUAAUGUACCCCUUAGUUCGGGAUAGCCACUGGAAACGGUGAUUAAUACCGGAUACUCCUUCUCAUUAUAAGAUGAGUCGGGAAAGUUUUUUCGCUAAGAGAUCAGUCUAUGUCCUAUCAGCUAGUUGGUGAGGUAAUGGCUCACCAAGGCUAUGACGGGUAUCUGGUUUGAGAGGAUGAUCAGACACACUGGAACUGAGACACGGUCCAGACUCCUACGGGAGGCAGCAGUGAGGAAUAUUGCACAAUGGAGGAAACUCUGAUGCAGCAACGCCGCGUGGAGGAUGACGCAUUUCGGUGUGUAAACUCCUUUUAAGAGGGAAGAUAAUGACGGUACCUCUUGAAUAAGCACCGGCUAACUCCGUGCCAGCCGCCGCGGU
rnacentral:rRNA from 1 species